UGUCCAUUAAUGGUCAGUUGCAGGUAAUGAGUAUUCAUAAAACUAGAGUUUCUUUCUUUUCAAGGUUUUCAACUACAGGGUUCGAAGCCAACAUGGAUGUCUUGGAUUCAUGAAUCUGCUUAAAGGUUGACGAGAUGCCAGUGAAGGGGUGCUGCAUACACAUGAAUGCGGAGCCGUGUAAAUACUGGUUCAGUAAACCUAGCUCUUUUUCUUGUGUUAAUGAUGACUGCGUUUGUUCGGUUCCACUGAAAGUCAAUGAAGUAACUUUCUCGCGGCGCACUGAAACACUGACAGACAAUGCAUGAACUUUUAUUUCAUGUCUUGUUGUCUAAUACAAUUUUGUUUUCUUUCAAGGAUGUGACCGAAGAGGAGCUGUGACUGGUUUGCUGCACAAUGGUGAAUUAAAAUGAUAUACAUCAAUUUAAAUGCUUGUUUAGUGGCAUUCAAUAGACUGUUUGAGUUAAUUUUCUCAUUUUCAGUUUUAUAAACUGCUU
ensembl:processed_transcript si:ch73-25f10.6 si:ch73-25f10.6